GAUGAACGCUGGCGGCGUGCCUAAUACAUGCAAGUCGAGCGAACGGACGAGAAGCUUGCUUCUCUGAUGUUAGCGGCGGACGGGUGAGUAACACGUGGAUAACCUACCUAUAAGACUGGGAUAACUUCGGGAAACCGGAGCUAAUACCGGAUGAUAUUUUGAACCGCAUGGUUCAAAAGUGAAAGACGGUCUUGCUGUCACUUAUAGAUGGAUCCGCGCUGCAUUAGCUAGUUGGUAAGGUAACGGCUUACCAAGGCAACGAUGCAUAGCCGACCUGAGAGGGUGAUCGGCCACACUGGAACGGAGACACGGUCCAGACUCCUACGGGAGGCAGCAGUAGGGAAUCUUACGCAAUGGGCGAAAGCCUGACGGAGCAACGCCGCGUGAGUGAUGAAGGUCUUCGGAUCGUAAAACUCUGUUAUUAGGGAAGAACAUAUGUGUAAGUAACUGUGCACAUCUUGACGGUACCUAAUCAGAAAGCCACGGCUAACUACGUG
rnacentral:rRNA from 1 species